UACGGAGGGUGCGAGCGUUGUCCGGAAUCACUGGGCGUAAAGCGCACGUAGGCGGCUUUUUAAGUCAGGGGUGAAAUCCUGGAGCUCAACUCCAGAACUGCCUUUGAUACUGAGAAGCUUGAGUCCGGGAGAGGUGAGUGGAACUGCGAGUGUAGAGGUGAAAUUCGUAGAUAUUCGCAAGAACACCAGUGGCGAAGGCGGCUCACUGGCCCGGUACUGACGCUGAGGUGCGAAAGCGUGGGGAGCAAACAGG
rnacentral:rRNA from 1 species